AUCUUAAACUAUAAAUUGAAAAUAGAUUAAUAUAUAUAUAUUGUAUUUAACAAUUCUUUAAAUUCAAGCCUGUGUUUAUAUGAUUAGAAAAUAAAGUAAAAAUUGUGAAAUAUUAUUGCAAUUUAAAAUAACUGUUUUCUAUAUGAAUAUCUGUUGAACUGUAAUUUAUUUCUGUGAUGUGCAGCUGUAUUUUCAGCAUCAUUACUCCAGUCUUCAGUGUCACAUGAUCUUCAGAAAUCAUUCUAAUAUACUGAUUUGCUGCUCAAGAAAUAUUUCUGAUUAUUAUCAAUGUUGAAAACAGUUGUACUUUUUCACGUUUUCAUGGAAACCGUUUGAACUGUAGUCUAUAAUAAGACAUUUGUGUUAUAUUGAUGUUGUUAUAUCGAAUGUGUUUUUAGGGAGUUUAAUCAGGCCUGUAUUCCAGACACUUCCACAUGUCCAGACGACAAACAAACACUCCCUUCUGCCGCUAACAAUAUUGUGUUGUUUGAGCCAAUGCUAACAGCUCAUUUGUUUUCUUUGUGUUUUAACAGGAAACUCAUCUCAUCCUACGCAGAGGAAGGACAGAGACAUCUUUACCCAAACAAACGCUCCUCUUUAACCGUCCAAAAACAGAAAUGCUAAUGAAUCAGUCAGCUUCUAGUGUGAGCCAGCGCUCCAGACGUCUUCAUUUCUAUAGCUGCAGGAAGACACGCUGCUAUUGCUGCCGGCUCCGAGCGUUUGGAGGGAAGCCCAAUAUGAGUAAUCAUCUAGAGCUGUAGAGAUGAUGUGAUGCUGAGACACGGCAAGAAUUUACUAAUAAGCCGCCUGGCAGGAUUCAGAGCCGCGUGAAACACAAAACACUGCCAAAUAUGUUGGGUAUGAAGGUUACGAGUCCUCAUGUAAUCAUCCUGCAGGUACAGUACAGAGAUCUGACCUCCUUCAAGAUGUCAAUCUCAAGAAACAGUUCACCCAAUCCAAGUAUAAAUCUUUGGCUUUAAUCUGUGGACAGUGGAUACAUGCUGCAAAUGAGAUUUCAUAGCAUGAAAUUCCCAUUUAAAGUCAUCUCAACUACUUAGUGUUUUAGAACCAUAUCUACAUUCAGUAAAGCCGUCCAAAAGUAGAUGUCUUUCAGUUUUCAGCAUGCUAAAUGUAGUAUUUAUUAUUUAAAAAGAAAAUAUGGUGUAUGCAAAAAAAGAGGCUAGUCACAAUACUUUUACACACACACACACACACAAAAAGUGUGUGAAAAGAGUGUAAGACAUUGAAUCUUAACUAAUCAUUAAUGUUUAUCAUGUAUUCUUAUCUUUGGCUAGGUUAUAAUGAUUUCUCAAAUCAGAAUAUAUUGCAUACAGUAUGUUGAAAAUACUAUAUACAACAUUCC
ensembl:lncRNA